GGUAAGUUUGUUCUACAUGCUGAACAUUAUUUUGACGGUUAAUUUAUUUUAAUCUCUUAUUUCUGUUGUUUUCAUUAUUCAAUGCAUUGGUUGGAUGAAUCUUUGUGUUAAAUAUAUUUUUCACUCUUUGUCUUGUGAAACAUUGAAUGUAAUUUUGAGGAAAAGAAUGUAGGGAGAGAGAACUAAUACUUUCAAAAUACUGUUGUUUAAAGAUGUGCUGGCAUAGAAUUAUAAGGGGAUGUAUCUAGAGUUCUCUAUUUUUGGGAUAAAGGC
rnacentral:misc_RNA from 1 species